rnacentral:rRNA from 1 species
GUUGUAUAGUUAAGUGACUAAGCGUACAAGGUGGAUGCCUUGGCAAUCAGAGGCGAAGAAGGACGUGCUAAUCUGCGAAAAGCUUGGAUGAGUCGAUAAGAGGCGUUUAAUCCAAGAUAUCCGAAUGGGGAAACCCAGUAGAUGAAGAAUCUACUAUCAACAAGUGAAUUCAUAGCUUGUUGAGGCAAACCGGGAGAACUGAAACAUCUAAGUACCCCGAGGAAAAGAAAUCAACCGAGAUUUCGUCAGUAGCGGCGAGCGAAAGCGAAAGAGCCAGUAAGUGAUAGCAGUAUAGUUAGGAGAAUGUGUUGGGAAGCACAAUCAAAGAGGGUGAUAAUCCCGUAUCUAAAAACCAUAUUGUGGUACUAAGCUAACGAGAAGUAGGGCGGGACACGUGAUAUCCUGUUUGAAGAAGGGGGGACCAUCCUCCAAGGCUAAAUACUC